CAACCUACCUGCCUCCUG
rnacentral:miRNA from 1 species